rnacentral:rRNA from 1 species
GUGUCAGCCGCCGCGGUAAUACGUAGGCAGCAAGCGUUGUUCGGAGUUACUGGGCGUAAAGGGUGCGUAGGCGGCUUUUUAAGUUUGGUGUGAAAUCUCCCGGCUCAACUGGGAGGGUGCGCCGAAUACUGAGAGGCUAGAGUGUGGGAGAGGAAAGUGGAAUUCCUGGUGUAGCGGUGAAAUGCGUAGAUAUCAGGAGGAACACCGGUGGUGUAAACGGCUUUCUGGACCAUAACUGACGCUGAGGCACGAAAGCGUGGGUAGCAAACAGGAUUAGAUACCCUCGUAGUCC